UACGAAGGGGGCUAGCGUUGUUCGGAUUUACUGGGCGUAAAGCGCACGUAGGCGGUUUGUUAAGUCAGGGGUGAAAGCCUGAGGCUCAACCUCAGAACUGCCUUUGAUACUGAGAGUCUCGAGACCGGUAGAGGUAAGUGGAACUGCGAGUGUAGAGGUGAAAUUCGUAGAUAUUCGCAAGAACACCAGUGGCGAAGGCGGCUUACUGGACCGGUUCUGACGCUGAGGCGCGAAAGCGUGGGGAGCAAACAGG
rnacentral:rRNA from 1 species